GCCUGGGUGGCUCAGUCAGUUAAGCAUCUGACUUUGGCUCAUGAUCUCACGCUUUGUGGGUUCAAGCCCCACAUCGGGCU
rnacentral:tRNA from 1 species